UACAGGGGGGCAAGCGUUGUUCGGAAUUACUGGGCGUAAAGGGCCAGUAGGCGGCCAACUAAGUCACACGUGAAAUCCCAGGCUUAACCUGGGAACUGCGUGUGAUACUGGAUGGCUUGAAUUCGGGAGAGGGAUGCAGAAUUCCAGGUGUAGCGGUGAAAUGCGUAGAUAUCUGGAGGAAUACCGGUGGCGAAGGCGGCAUCCUGGACCGAGAUUGACGCUGAACGGCGAAAGCUAGGGGAGCAAACGGG
rnacentral:rRNA from 1 species